GAUGAAUGCUGGCGGCGUGCCUAACACAUGCAAGUCGAGCGGCAGCGAGGGGUGCUUGCACCCUGUCGGCGAGCGGCGAACGGCUGAGUAACGCGUAGGAAUUUGCCCCAAAGUGAGGAAUAACUGCCCGAAAGGGUAGCUAAUGCCGCAUAUGGUCUUCGGAUUAAAGGAUUUAUCCGCUUUGGGAGAAGCCUGCGUUGGAUUAGGUUGUUGGUAGGGUAAUGGCCUACCAAGCCGACGAUCCAUAGCUGGUCUGAGAGGAUGAUCAGCCAGACUGGAACUGAGACACGGUCCAGACUCCUACGGGAGGCAGCAGUGAGGAAUCUUCCACAAUGGGCGAAAGCCUGAUGGAGCAACGCCGCGUGAAGGAUGAAGGCCUUCGGGUUGUAAACUUCUUUUAUGAGUGAAGAAUAUGACGGUAACUCGUGAAUAAGCACCGACUAACUACGUG
rnacentral:rRNA from 1 species